rnacentral:lncRNA from 1 species
AGAAGAAGAGAAAGAAGGAAUGAAGGAAUGGAUGGAUACUUGGGAGGAAUUAGGUAGUGAGAGUGAGAGUAACUUGUAUAUGCCGCCACACAUUCAACAUCCACGUAAUAAGAAGAAUAAUAAUAAAAUCAAUACUUCCUCUUCUUUAUGCUGCUCCUCACUAUAGUGGUGCCGCCAGAGAGAGAGGCAACUACAACUGCAACUGCAACACUCGGAUGUAAAAUUAGGGAUUGGAAUUGGUUGAGGAAUUUUGAAAGCGGCUUGACUUGGCUUGGCUUGGUUUGGCUUGGUUGUGACGUUGUAUUUGUAUUGUAAAUUGGAGGGAUGGGAAUGGGAUGGGAUCUGCUUUGCUUUUAGAACGCGUUGAGUUCGCGUGGAUCGUAGGCUCACAUGGCAAAUGCUAACCGCCAAAAGGAAAAAGGAGCACACGGAAAUCCUUUUUCCUGUUUCACACAAUAACAACUCAACUCAAU